CAAGUUUUGAAGAACCUGUGCAGAAUGCUCGCCAAACAACAGCGGAUUCCUCUUCUUGGACUUGAGAAGGAUCUCCAGCACCCGGCUCACGUCCACGGAGCUCUUGUUGCUGCUACCGCUCGAAGGGAUGGUCAUCCCCAUGAGAACGCUGUUGAGCUGCUGGUGGUGUUGGUGGUGAUCGGGAGCAAUGCUUCUGCUACUGGAGAUGGGGUGCAACUAGCAAGAUUACUG
rnacentral:lncRNA from 1 species